UUGGCUCCACUUGAUCAUCCAUUCAUAGUUACCAAAUACCCUAUCCAGUCUGCUGUAUACUCUGUCCACUCCAGUCUGCUUAUUUGUCCAGGUGUAGUAUUCACCCCUCCAAGGCAAUUCUGACAAUCCAGCUUGUUGAAUACAUUUAUUGAAGUCUUGGGUUUUAGGAAGUCUGACAGGUUUGCAAGACUGCCUAUCUUUGUCACAUAAGAUAGCAUUAAAAUCUCCAGCUACUACCCAUAGAUUUUGCAUCCCCGAUAACAGUGUUUGGAGACUGCUCCAUAGCGAUCUUCUUUGCUCCAAUCCAUUGAAGCCAUACACCACGGUGUGGAAGCAUGUGAAGUCUUCUGUCCUGCUUCUAACCUUGAUAUAUAUCAAUUGACCUUCCUCCAGAAUACUAGUGACUUCAAACACUUUUGGGUUCCAUAGAUUCCACACUCUGCCCUUUUCACCAGAGAUAUAGUUUGUUAGGAUGCACCAUCCUGGUG
rnacentral:lncRNA from 1 species